rnacentral:rRNA from 1 species
AUUGAACGCUGGCGGAAUGCUUUACACAUGCAAGUCGAACGGUAGAGGGGGCAACCCCCUUGAGAGUGGCGAACGGGUGAGUAAUAUAUCGGAACGUGCCCAGUCGUGGGGAUAACGUAGCGAAAGUUACGCUAAUACCGCAUACGAUCUAAGGAUGAAAGCGGGGGAUCGCAAGACCUCGCGCGAUUGGAGCGGCCGAUAUCAGAUUAGGUAGUUGGUGAGGUAAAGGCUCACCAAGCCGACGAUCUGUAGCUGGUCUGAGAGGACGACCAGCCACACUGGGACUGAGACACGGCCCAGACUCCUACGGGAGGCAGCAGUGGGGAAUAUUGGACAAUGGGCGCAAGCCUGAUCCAGCCAUGCCGCGUGUGUGAAGAAGGCC